UAUCAACAGCAUAAGAUUCACAAUCCUAACACUAGGUAAUCGUUAGAAACUUCAAAACAAUCCCAAAUUCACGCCUAAUCAUAAGUUCUAGUUCAUCUCAAAACACAACUCUAAAAAUUCCUAAUAAAAGAGAAUUUCGAAGUCAAACCUUGUAGAUUGGGUGAGUGAAUGAACUAAACAGAUAGAGAAUGAGAAAUCGAGUGGAUUAGGGCGAGAAACGGAAGAAAUCCGUCAAGAAUAGAGAGAGAAAAGAGAGGUUUUGAUUUCGUUAGGGUUUUGCGAAUGAGAGGAGAAAGAGGCGGAUGUCGAGUUAAUUGAGGUUAACCCUCGAUAUGUCCGCAUCGAUCGAUGGCAGAACAGCUACAUCGAUCGAUAUUUCUCCAACUGAGUACUCCUAAUAUUUUACUAAUAGCAAGAUAUAAAUAUAUAUAUAAAUAAAAUUACGAGAAACAAAAUAUUUUUUUCUUUUUUUUUUUGAAAGAAAAUGGGUUGCCUCCCAUUCAGCACUUUAAUUUAAAGUCUUUAGCUCGACUUCCUGAAUAAACUAGUUAUCAGGGGUUCUUAGAAUAAUGGGUUGCCUCCCAAUAAUGUUUCAC
rnacentral:lncRNA from 1 species